rnacentral:rRNA from 1 species
UACGGGGGGGGCAAGCGUUGUUCGGAAUUACUGGGCGUAAAGGGCCAGUAGGCGGCCAGCUAAGUCCGACGUGAAAUCCCCAGGCUUAACCUGGGAACUGCGUCGGAUACUGGAUGGCUUGAAUUCGGGAGAGGGAUGCAGAAUUCCAGGUGUAGCGGUGAAAUGCGUAGAUAUCAGGAGGAACACCGGUGGCGAAGGCGGCUAUCUGGACAGAAACUGACGCUGAGGCGCGAAAGCUAGGGGAGCAAACGGG